AAUAACCAAAUAUAACACUUGGGCUAAGGGUCAAGUUAGUAAUUCUUCUUACAUCUCCCCCCCCAGGAGCCCAGGUAUCAUAUACGCCUCCAAAAUAAAGAGCCUUGAGCACUAGGAGAAAAGCACCUAUACCUAACAAGAUUAAGUGAAUACCCAAAAUUGUGGUCAUUUUAUUUCUAUCUUUCCA
rnacentral:antisense_RNA from 13 species